ensembl:lncRNA
AUUUAUUUAUUUAUUGUUUUUAGGUAUUUUUUGAUGAAUAGGAAGUUUUAAAUAAUAUAUACAGUGUGUAUGUAUAUAUAUAUAUAUAUAUAUAUAUAUAUAUAUAUACUCAUAUAUUAUCCAUCUAUCCAUCUAUCUAUCUAUCUAUCUAUCUAUCAUAAUGUAUUUGUGUGUGUGUCUGUCGUAUUUUCUAUAUCAGUAAUAUUUUAAUAUUUGUAUUGUGAAUUUGUGUGGUAGGUAGUUUACCAUGCAAUGGUCAUGAGUUGCAUCAAACAAGUAUCCCACUGCAUCUCCAGACAGGACUGGAAACAAUGUCUGGCUACUCUGGACACAUUUGGCUAAGAUAUCAGCUCAUAUAAUCUCCUAAGUAUCGACCUCUGCACCUGUCCGGCUACAACACUCGAUACCACUCCGUUGUUUCCUUCCCAGUUGUCCUCUAUGGUUCCACUUCUCUCAGCACCUCCAUUAGAUGCCCACAUAUGUAUGCUGAGAUUUAGUAAGGGCAGCAGGGCGAGGCAUUCCUCCCCUCGUAAAGAUCUGCUCUGGAUGCAGCCAGUGCCUUUAACAUCAGAGAGGCAGUGAAGGGAUGGAGGGGGAGAAAUGAGAGCGAAACAGCUGUUCCCAGCAUGUCAAUAGAUUAAAUAGCAGUUCCAGCCCUCCUGGGGUCCGUGGACUCUCCCACCAUGAUUUUACAGUUUCCACUCUAUAGGGUUUUUGUGGUGGACAGCCUGUGUGGGACGAAGUGCACAGACCUUCCAGUACACAAGCAUCAGAAGGGACAUCCUUCACACUUUUAUAGGGUCAGGCUUGACGAAUGCAUCAUAAAUGGAGUAAUCCUCUUCUCAGGAAAAAAUGCUGUUUUACUCCAAGUGUCAUGGAGCGAGUUUCUCACAGUGCGUUCAUUCAUUAUGAGCUGUGAACCCUGAGGAGGUGAGCACAUUUCACAUAAUGAUCUUUGGCGCUCUGUGGUUUUUCUCAUCCAGCUUGGAUUCUCAUUACAGUUUUAACAGCCUCCCAGACCUUCAUUUGUUACAACAGCAACAGGUGGAUUUCUCCUCUCUUUUCAUUUACAGGCAACAAAAUGCUUUGAAAUCUUACACUGAAAUGCAGGAUGAUUUCAUUUUUGGUUGUUAAAACAAAUGUUUAGUUUAUAAAGGAAACGGAUUACAAUUAAGAGUAAAUCUUUCUGAACUCUUAACACUGAGUGACCGCUAUAAACAGUAUUUUUCUAAAAUGCUACUGCUGUUUAAGCAUGUUAGGCAGAAUGACAAACAUUUUUUGGCAGACGUCGGGCAGCAGUGUAUCAAGUAUUCCUGGCACGAACUGUGCAAGGAAAACAGUGUAGUCAAAAGCUUUUGAAACUGAUUUAUACCUACUUGCCUCUUGCUUGAAAUGGACUAAUGUUUCCUGGGCAAAGUAUUCCCUAAACUUCUUUAAACUCACUCAGAUAUAUUUGCCUUGUCCUUGCAGGCCCUAAAUUAUUAAUUAGACUUUGCUUGAUUCAAAAAGAUGUUUCAAACUCAAACUUUUUUUUUUUUUUUUUUUUGGCUUUAUAUUGGCAAAUAAGUGUGUAUUUGUUAAAGUUACUAAUAGUUUUUAAAAACUUUAAUGAAAAACGCUAAAAUUAUUAUACUAUUUAUAAUUCUUAAAAUAUAAUUAAGCAUCUGUGUUUUUUCUUCUCUUUAUUUAGUUUGUCAUGAAAGUGAAGUGUAAAGCGCAAGCUUCCCAAAGUAAAAUCAGAAAAUAUCAGGACAUUUUUAACUGAUUUCGGGGCACGAGGAAGUCUACGGUAUUUUUUAUAGGCUAAAUGUAAAUGUUUCUAUCGAUGAUCGAAAUAAUUAAUCAGCUAGAAAUGUUAUACAAUGUCUUUUUCCAGUAAUCAUGAGCAACUGGGGAAAAGUAAUGGAAAUUCAUUGGUCAGAGGGUGUGUGACCAGGGAAAGUGCUGCGUUCUACACUCCUCUUCACUUUUAAGGAAGUAUAAAUAAUAAUCUGCCUGUUUAUAAACCUAGUUUAUAGCGAGCUGAAGCGCCGCUUGUUUUGUUCAUAAAUGAUCAAAUGCGUCAGCAGCGUGACUGUAAAAACAUCUACUACAGCGGAUUUAAACUUUAUUUUAUUGAACCUCCUUAAAUUGAUAAAGAUUUACAAAAAUAGAAAGGCAAUGUAAAUACCCAAUAGAUUAGUAAAAUAAUAAUAUAAUAUAAUUUGGUAGUUUAAUGAAGUUAUAUUCCGUUUAUUAUAUCUGAUUUAAAAUUAUUUCAUCACAAAAACUGAUGGAUCGCGAGACUGAACAAGUUUGAAAAACUAUAUAUGUAUGUGUAUAUGUGUGUGAUUUUUUUUCUUUUUUUUAAUUGAAAGCAUUGUUCAGAAUUAAGAAAUUUGGGAAAAUAUCGUUUUGACCUUUUUAAUUUGCAUUAGUUGACGGCUGUGCAGAUGAAGAUUUAUCGUAACUAAUAAACUUCUGACUCAGAUUAAUGCGAUUAAAUAU